rnacentral:rRNA from 1 species
AUACGUAGGGUGCGAGCGUUAAUCGGAAUUACUGGGCGUAAAGCGUGCGCAGGCGGUUUUGUAAGUCAGAUGUGAAAUCCCCGAGCUCAACUUGGGAACUGCGUUUGAAACUAUAAGACUAGAAUAUGUCAGAGGGGGGUAGAAUUCCACGUGUAGCAGUGAAAUGCGUAGAGAUGUGGAGGAAUACCAAUGGCGAAGGCAGCCCCCUGGGAUAAUAUUGACGCUCAUGCACGAAAGCGUGGGGAGCAAACAGGAUUAGAUACCCUGGUAGUCCACGCCCUAAACGAUGUCUACUAGUUGUUGGUGGAGUAAAAUCCAUGAGUAACGCAGCUAACGCGUGAAGUAGACCGCCUGGGGAGUACGGUCGCAAGAUUAAA